rnacentral:RNase_P_RNA from 1 species
UGAGUCGGCCGGGCGGUCGCGCCGGGCUGAUUUUGGUCCGGUGAGGAAGGUCCGGGCUCCACAGGACAGGGUGGUCGGUAACGCCGACCCGGGGUGACCCGCGGGACAGUGCCACAGAAAACAGACCGCCCCUGCGCCUGGCGCGGGGGUAAGGGUGAAACGGUGGUGUAAGAGACCACCAGCGCCGCAGGUGACUGCGGUGGCUUGGUAAACCCCACCCGGAGCAAGGUCAAGAGGGGAACGUAGUUCCCUGCGCGAGCGUUUGAGGGCGGCCCGUCCGAUGCUCGCGGGUAGGCCGCACGAGGCUGCCGGCAACGGCAGUCCCAGAUGGAUGACCGCCGCCCCGCGCAAGCGGGCGCACAGAACCCGGCCUACAGGCCGGCUCACCCA